CCCAACUCUCAGCGGCGUACUCUUCCCAACGAGGAUCUUGACCUGACGCCGUGUCUUGGUGGGAAAAACAGAUUCGUUACGUCGCCGCGACGCUGUUCCUAACACUCGCGCACGUCGGAUAGAUUUACGCGCGUUUUCAUACUCGAGGAAAAGUGGACCGGAGUCGGGUUCCGGCGAGAUCGUACACACGUCGGAGCAAGGACACGGGUUUAAAAAGAAAGUGGGUGUGACAGAUCGAAACAGAAGGAUGGAAGAGGAUGGAAAGAAGUAGAGAUAGAGAGAUGGAAGAAGGUAGGAAGAACUGACGGGAAGAGAGAAGGAACGAUGGAUAAAAAGAAAGGAAGAAGGGCAGAUGUACAAAAUGAAGAACGGAAGGAUGAGGAAAAGGAGGACUGGAAUACGGAGGCAGGACGGACGAAGUGGGGGGUGGGGGUGGGUGGGGGGGGACGGAUGGAAGGAAGGACACAAAAGGAAGAGUGGGAAAAGAAAGAAAACGAUGGAAGGAGCGCCAGGAAGAAGGGAGAUCAAAAGCGUGAAUGAGUGGAAUGGAGCGAGGGGAAUAAAGAAGGAAGGAAGGAAGAAAAAGGAAAUAAGGAAGGAAGGAGGGAAGGAAAGAAGGCGAGAAGGAAGGAAGGAAGGAAGGAAGGAAGGAAAGAAGGAAGGAAGGAAAGAAGGAAGGAAGGAAGGAAGGAAGGAAAGAAAGGAAGGAAGGAAAGAAGGAAAGAAGGGCGAGAAGGAAGGAAGGAAGGAAGGAAGGAAAGAAGGAAAGAAGGAAAGAAGGAAGGAAGGAAAGAAGGAAGGAAAGAAGGAAAGAAGGAAGGAAGGAAAGAAGGAAGGAAAGAAGGAAGGAAGGAAAGAAGGAAGGAAAGAAGGAAGGAAGGAAGGAAGGAAAGAAGGAAGGAAGGAAGGAAAGAAGGAAGGAAGGAAAGAAGGAAGGAAAGAAGGAAGGAAAGAAGGCGAGAAGGAAGGAAGGAAG
ensembl:lncRNA